CCUACGGGUGGCAGCAGUGAGGAAUAUUGGUCAAUGGGCGCGAGCCUGAACCAGCCAAGUAGCGUGAAGGAUGACUGCCCUACGGGUUGUACACUUCUUUUAUAAAGGAAUAAAGUGCAGCACGUAUUCCUUUUUGUAUGUACUUUAUGAAUAAGGAUCGGCUAACUCCGUGCCAGCAGCCGCGGUAAUACGGAGGAUCCGAGCGUUAUCCGGAUUUAUUGGGUUUAAAGGGAGCGUAGACGGGUUGUUAAGUCAGUUGUGAAAGUUUGCGGCUCAACCGUAAAAUUGCAAUUGAUACUGGCAGCCUUGAGUACAGUUGAGGUAGGCGGAAUGCGUGGUGUAGCGGUGAA
rnacentral:rRNA from 1 species